GACGAACGCUGGCGGCGUGCUUAACACAUGCAAGUCGAACGAUGAAGCCGGAGCUUGCUCUGGUGAAUUAGUGGCGAACGGGUGAGUAACACGUGAGUAACCUGCCCUUGACUCUGGGAUAACUGCUAGAAAUGGUAGCUAAUACCGGAUACGACCCUCGGAGGCAUCUUCAGGGGGUGGAAAGAAUUUCGGUCAAGGAUGGACUCGCGGCCUAUCAGCUAGUUGGUGAGGUAAUGGCUCACCAAGGCGACGACGGGUAGCCGGCCUGAGAGGGUGACCGGCCACACUGGGACUGAGACAGGGCCCAGACUCCUACGGGAGGCAGCAGUCGGGAAUAUUGCACAAUGGGCGCAAGCCUGAUGCAGCAACGCCGCGUGAGGGAUGACGGCCUUCGGGUUGUAAACCGCUUUUAGUAGGGAAGAAGCGAAAGUGACGGUACCUGCAGAAAAAGCACCGGCUAACUACGUGCCAGCAGCCGCGGUAA
rnacentral:rRNA from 1 species